UAAAUGGUUCUUAUCAGAACCACCACAUGUUUGGACGAAAGUAUAUU
rfam:Cyphomyrmex costatus contig16385, whole genome shotgun sequence.